UCAAGAUCAUCAACUUUACAAUAUUUGUAUAACUGUUUUUCCAGGACAUUUAAGAAAAGGCAAAGUUGUCUUUCCACUCUUGCCAUGGGGUGCUUCUAAAAUUUGGGCCGGGUCGCGGGGUCAGCAGCCUAAGCAGAGAAGCCCAGACCUCCCUCUCCCCAGCCAUCUCCUCCAGCUUAUCCGGGGGAACACCAAGGAGUUCCCAGGCCAGCCGAGAAAUAUAAUCUCUCCAGCGUGUCCUGGGUCUGCCCCGGGGCCUUUUGUUAUUUAUUUACAGGUUAUUUAUUUACUAUUUCUGAACUGUAAAACAAAGUGCUACUAUUAACCCUAUGGCAGGACCAGGACCACUGGCUAAACCCCCUACCCUGACUGGUAAUUGUCCAGUCAUACUUCUGCAUCUGUAAAUAGACACAUUUUGAGCUUUGGCAACAGAUAAAAGAUGGGUGUAGCUACUGUAGUAUCACCUGUUGGUUUCUGAAUGUUUCUGCCAUCGUUACCUUGGUUGCAAAAAUCCAGAUGUGACAAAGAGGGCAGAAGGCUCACUGGGCUAAUUACUUGUGAUUGGCAGCUCAUUAGCUAAUGGUUGUUCAGUUUCAUACCACAGAUAACCCCCCAUUUUUAAACAUAGUAUGACCAAGAUAAAGAAAAAUAUAGGGUUAAUUUUUCACUCAGUAUCACUCAGAAUGAGUGACUGAGCCCAUAAAUUCAACAGGAAAGUGUUACAGAGGUCAAGGCACACAGCUCUUUUCCCCCACACUUUUGUAGGACUGUAAAUUUGCUUUUUUGUUUUCACAGAUUUAUCCCUCUGAUGGCCUUCAGACAGGGUUUCAGCCAUUUACGUAUUAGCUUAAUUGUUCUGAUAUGAAAGCUACGUCCAUGUUUUAUACUAUUUAUAGUCAUGCUCAUUAUUUAAAUGCACUUAAGAUAAUAAAAAAAAGAUUUAUUUGCCUGCAGUGUGUGUUUUUGGGUUUAGUCUUUUAGCAAGAGCAAGAUCAGCUAAUAGUUAGGACAGCAGUUUUUCAUUAAAAUGAUCAGGAAGGAAGCUGAAGACAGCAUUUUCAACCAAUUAGUGCUACUUACAAUAACAUCUUAGUUAAGCUAGCUGAGCUAGCUAGCUGCACCAGUUUUAAUCUGCUAAUUACAGUAGCAGUUGUAAAUGGUGAGCCCUGUUACCGUUUCUAACUUGUGAUCCAUUUGGUGUGACAUUUUGUCACACUGGCUACCGUUUAGCAGUAGUAUACAACGAAAGAUUGUAAAGAGACAUAUUUGAACCCAAACCAUGAAAUUUUCCUAAAUUAGGGAUGUUUGUGGCUAAUUGACAGGUUGCUAAAACAUAUUAUUAAUAUCUUUUUAGUGAACAACGACAAUUAUAUUAAUAAAAUGAUGCACUUUGAGUGGAAGCUGUAAAGGAGGAAAGGGGAAAGUAAAUAAAUGACAGCCAUGCUAACCUGCGCUGUCCUGCAACACUGCAAAAAGGUGCGGGGAGAUAGUUGUAUGUAAACCUUGUCAGAAUAAACUGAAACUAUAAUCAAGCAACUGAAGCCAGAUGUAUCCAUAUGGAAGAAACCAAGUCUACUACUGCUAGCGCUGCUAAGGUUAGCCAAACUAAGCAAAGUAAUCUGAGUGUGCAUGCUGCACAGCUUAGGAACAUUCAAAACAUGAUUUGAUUAACUAGGAACGUCAUUUUUAUAUAUGAUUUCUAAAACACACAAAUUUUUUGUUUUUGGCUCACGUUCAACUUCAUGUGCUCAGUUUAAAUGUUUUUAAACAUUAGUUGAAUAGUCUAAUAGGUAGCAAGUCAGUCACUAGAAAUAUCCCUAUCCCAAACCUCCAUCCAUCCAUCCAUCUUCAUCCGCUUUGUCCGGGGCCGGGUCUCCGGGGCAGCAGCCUAAGCAAAGAGGCCCAGACCUCCCUCUCCCCAGCCACCUCCUCCAGCUUGUCCGGGGGAAUACCAAGGCGUUCCCAGGCCAGCCGAGAGAUAUAAUCUCUCCAGCGUGUCCUGGGUCUGCCCCGGGGCCUCCUCCCGGUGGGACAUGCCUGGAACACCUCACCCAGGAGGCGCCCAGGGGGCAUCCUUGUCAAAUGCCCGAACCACCUCAGCUGGCUCCUUUCGAUGUGGAGCAGCAGCUGCUCUACUCUGAGCCCCUCCCGGAUGGCCGAACUUCUCACCCUAUCUCUAAGGGAGAGGCCAGCCACCCUUCGGAGGAAGCUCAUUUCUGCCGCUUGUAUCCGCGAUCUCGUUCUUUCGGUCACUACCCACAGCUCGUGGCCAUAGGUGAGGGUAGGGACGUAGAUCGACCGGUAAAUUGAGAGCUUCGCUUUUACACUCAGCUCCCUCUUCACCACGACGGACCGGUGCAGCGUCCGCAUUACUGCAGCUGCAGCCCCAAUCCGUCUGUCGAUCUCCGGCUCCCUUCUCCCAUCACUCGCGAACAAGACCCCGAGAUACUUGAUCUCCUCCACUUGGGGCAGGAACUCAUCCCCGACCCGGAGUGGGCACUCCACCCUUUUCCGGCUGAGAACCAUGGCCUCAGAUUUGGAGGUGCUGAUCCUCAUUCCCGCUAUCCCAAACCUAAACUAACAUAUAUACAAGACACAAACCACAGUGUCCUGGAUGGCUUGUAAUGUGUUUUUAUAGUUCAGACACACAGUGACAUUUGCUCUCUGCCACUUUGUACAAUCUCAGAGACGCCAGCAACUUUGACAAAUAGUUAGUAUUUAUUGCCAGUAGAAGGUGAAAGCUUGGUAGCAGCUGGUUAAAGAAAAUAUGAGAAGCAUGUUUAUCUCUACCUCUGAAAUCAAGAACUCAGUAAACAUUUUGAUGGUAAAUGCCAGUAUUGUUGCAAAUGUAAUGGGAACCACCAGUAACGUCACAACCGUAAGGAGGGCGGGGCCUAGCAACCAGUCAAAUAAAGUGUCAUGACCUCGAAUACAUUUUGCAGUUUCAUUACUUGAGCUUUUAAGGAGAACCAAUGAAAUGUUUUUCACAGUGUGUAAUUUCAAGUGUAUUGUACUGUAUAUCCGUUUUCUUAAUCCUACUAAUCAGACCUGGGUCAAAACAAGGUUCGAACAUCAAUCUCAUUUAUUACUCCUGUCAAAUUUAUGAAUGACUUAAUACAUAAAACCCUAAAUAUAUCCUAUAUUAUUGAAAGUGUAUGCUUUAGAAGUUUAGAAGUUGGAAUGGCAUCCAGAGGGUGGGAGAUGACCAAAUAAUGUUUGUAUCUGUAAAACAUCAAAAGUUCCAUUUAUUUAAAUACUGAAAGCUAACAUUAACCUAUGUGACCUGUGUGAUGACCCAGGUGUGAUGGUCAUUGGUAUACUGUAUAUUGCGAUGACUUUUUUGCAUACGACUGCACUGCCAAACACCUUCUCUUUCUCUCUGUCUGUCUUUUGUGCUCUUGUGGUAGUAGCACUCUAUCUCUGGAUGUCUCUUUCAGCAUGGGGGCCAGUUUACUUUAAGCGCCAUCACUACAGGAAGAUGAAUAUUACUAGAAAAUUGAAAUCAGUUCAGGCCCUUUGUCUGUAAUGAACAGUUUAUGAGUUCCUAGGGAUGCUGCCUGCAAAUCAACACCCUACAGCCUGUUUGAGAGUUUUUAUUAUUACAUCACUAUUAUGUAUUGUAGGUCAGUGUGUGACCCUUUUUUACAGCUUUCCACCAUCCAGUUUUUCCCUUUCAAAUCAAUUUAAAAGCACGUUGGAGCAUGGUUUGGUAUCUCGUUUAAUGACUGAAAGUUCCCAUUUAUCUCCUGCUAUCUGAUGGCACUUAGAUUUAAACUGGCUCCUAAACCUGACUCUCUUUUUUCUGCAUAUUUCUGGAAGUAUAGCUCAUAAGUGGGUCAGUGUGUAGUGAUGUGGUUGAAACUUGAUGAAGUAAGUCUUGUAAAUCAGUCAGUGAGACGUUUAUUCCGAAGUUUGUGAGUAUCCUCUUCACUCUGAGCAAAACGUGUCUGUAUUUGAUACCUGAAAAUGUAAGCACACAACCACUUUUGUCUCAAAGUCUAGUCACUCGUUUCUAAUAGCUUUUUAUAUAGCCAAAAAAAACCUGUCCCUUUGUUUAUCAAAGAACUUUAUCUUGAGAACUAUAUUAAAUUGCUAAAUGUACUAUUACAGUGGUGUUGAUGUAUUUUGUUUGUUUUUACAAUAGCUGUGAGUGCUGGGAGAGAUGUGAAAGCUAUAACAAAGCAACAAAGGCUGAAAGGUCCUGUCAUUUAAUGCGUAUAAGAUCAAAACACUGAAUCCCCAUAAAGCAACCUAAUACAUUCAGGAUAAGUAGUAUUAUAAAUUCCCCAGGGGCUUCAAGAGAGCCUUUUUUGACAGCUGAAUUAACAUUCUGUAAUAAUGCGUUCCCUUUAAAGUACAUAUUCUGACUCAGAGUAUUAACCAGCCAAAAGAAAAGCUUUUGAGUAAAAUAAACUUAUUUGCUUCCCUCAAGUUGCUCAGAAAAUAUACAUGCAUGAUAUGAGUUUUCAAAAAUAAAGCUCAAA
ensembl:lncRNA